CCUGCCCCUAGGGGCAUGGCAGGUGUGACAGCUCUGUCACUGUACUUCAGGUGGCAGGGAGUAGAAAGGCUAUGUCUGAGGGCUGUGCAGAAUUGGCUGCACCCCUUGCCUGGGCAUUGUGAAAUAGCUGGCCCU
ensembl:snoRNA